rnacentral:rRNA from 1 species
CAGCACCUCAAGUGGUCAGGAUGAUUAUUGGGCCUAAAGCAUCCGUAGCCGGCUCUGUAAGUUUUCGGUUAAAUCUGUACGCUCAACGUACAGGCUGCCGGGAAUACUGCAGAGCUAGGGAGUGGGAGAGGUAGACGGUACUCGGUAGGAAGGGGUAAAAUCCUUUGAUCUAUUGAUGACCACCUGUGGCGAAGGCGGUCUACCAGAACACGUCCGACGGUGAGGGAUGAAAGCUGGUGGAGCAAACCGGAUUAGAGACCCGCGUAGUCC